rnacentral:rRNA from 1 species
AAAGAACUUUGAAAAGAGAGUUAAAAGUGCGUGAAACCGUUGGAAGGAAGCGAAUAGAAUUAGCAAUUCGCCUUGGCGUGCUCGGCUUCGAUCUUUCUAGACGAGCCCCGUACGCUCGCGUUGCGGGCGGUGCACUUCCGGUUGGCGAAAGUYAACGUCGGUUUGCACGGAGUCAAAAAGCUGCMAGCACGGKAGGUCUCUCGUGAUCGGUAAGGCUUGCGUGCAAAUGGCUUCAUGUAGACCGAGUUCUGUCGCAGCACGUACCUGCAGGCUGAUGUCCUUGUCGUUGAGUCGGUUUAAUGUCGCUGGACGGACGGCUUUGCCUGUGCGUCCCGGUGCGGCCGUUCARACGACGGGGCAAACAGACACGACGUGCUGAGGACKUCGACCGCUCGGCGGCUCUAUCCGACCCGUCUUGAAACACGGACCAAGGAGUCUAACAUGUGCGCAAGUCUCARAGCGAUCGAAACUCGUUGGGCUUAAUGAAAGUGAAUGCAGUCACGGCUGCAGAGAUGAGAGGCUGUGUGGCGGCAUCAUCGACCGACCUAUUCUACUCUUAGAAAGGUUUGAGUUAGAGCGCACCUGUCGGGACCCGAAAGAUGGUGAACUAUGCCUGAAUAGGGCGAAGCCAGCGGAAACACUGGUGGAAGCCCGUAGCGAUUCUGACGUGCAAAUCGAUCGUCGAAUUUGGGUAUAGCGGCGAAAGACUAAUCGAACCAUCUAGUAGCUGGUUCCCUCCGAAGUUNCUCACAGGAUAGCUGGANCUCGG